rnacentral:rRNA from 1 species
CCUACGGGUGGCAGCAGUGAGGAAUAUUGGUCAAUGGGCGCGAGCCUGAACCAGCCAAGUAGCGUGAAGGAGGACUGCCCUGCGGGUUGUAAACUUCUUUUAUAAGGGAAUAAAGUGAGGCACGUGUGCCUUUUUGUGUGUACUUUAUGAAUAAGGAUCGGCUAACUCCGUGCCAGCAGCCGCGGUAAUACGGAGGAUCCGAGCGUUAUCCGGAUUUAUUGGGUUUAAAGGGAGCGUAGAUGGGUUGUUAAGUCAGUUGUGAAAGUUUGCGGCUCAACCGUAAAAUUGCAAUUGAUACUGGCAGCCUUGAGUACAGUUGAGGUAGGCGGAAUUCGCGGUGUAGCGGUGAAAUGCUUAGAUAUCGCGAAGAACUCCGAUUGCGAAGGCAGCUUACUAAACUGACACUGACAUUGAGGCUCGAAAGUGUGGGUAUCAAACAGGAUUAGAUACCCUAGUAGUC